UGUUUUAGAAACAUGCUGAGGAAGUAUUUGCAAGCACACUUGACAAGCGACAUGUGAUCAAGGUUGGAAGCAUGAUACGCUUCUUAAUCAAGAGCUUUGACGAGGAGAUUCUUCAUAUUUCUGGGUCUUUGAUUCCUGCUAAUACUGGAUGUGCUGGUUGGUUAGAUAAACAUAUGAGAGAAAGUUCAGAAAUGGACAGGAGUAACAAGAAAAAGAGAGAAAGGGAGGCU